rnacentral:rRNA from 1 species
AUAUCAAUAAGCGGAGGAAAAGAAACUAACAAGGAUUCCCCUAGUAACUGCGAGUGAAGCGGGAAAAGCUCAAAUUUGAAAUCUGGCGGCUCUGCCGUCCGAGUUGUAUUCUGGAGAAGUGCCUUCCGCGCCGGACCGUGUACAAGUCCCUUGGAACAGGGCGUCAUAGAGGGUGAGAAUCCCGUCUUUGACACGGACCCCCGGUGCUCUGCGAUGCGCUCUCGAAGAGUCGAGUUGUUUGGGAAUGCAGCUCAAAAUGGGUGGUAAAUUCCAUCUAAAGCUAAAUAUUGGCGAGAGACCGAUAGCGAACAAGUACCGUGAGGGAAAGAUGAAAAGCACUUUGGAAAGAGAGUAAAACAGUAC